UACUGUGUUUAUGGUGGUGGUCAAAAGAAGGUUGAGGAUGGCUGCUCUAGAACAACACCAGGUCAGACAGGCAUUUAGAGAAAUUUUUAAAAGGGCUGCCCAACACAGGAACUUCUGAGCUUAUUAGUCUGGACUGAGAACCUGUAUCACUGUAACAGUUAAAGUCUUCCACCAGGAUGUGGGAAAUCUAGGUUGUAGUUCCAUCGAAUGAACCAUGCAAGUCACCAUGUGAUCAUAGCCAUUUACUGUAUUUCAGACUGAAAUACAUUGUGCCUCCUUGACGGGGGCUAGACUCACUGAUUCAUAGGGUCUCUUCCAGCUCUGCAGUUCUAAGAUGGUGAUUAUGAUGUUCCUGAUGACGAUCACCUGAUGAGGUGGUUACGAUGGGAUGGAGAAGCAACAGAAAGAAGUAUAGAGCCGUGUGUUCUCUCUUGAGCUUAGUGGAGAAAAGGCAGGCUAUAAAUGUAACUGGUAAGUAACAACAGUUACUGUACUAUGACUAGGGUGGCAAUUAAGGGAGGUCCAGAGAGGCUUCAGUUUGGCAGACUCUCUGACAGGGUGAUGAAGCCAACUGCAGCUGCCCAGGGAAAUUUUGUGCUGACACAAGACCUGGAAGUCAGCUAUCCAAGCCUUAAUUCAACGCCUACUCCACCUGCUUCCUCUUUGAUCAUCUGACUGGCAUGAAGUUGACAUCAGUGUUUCCUUCUACAAUGAAUUAUCAGUUUGUUGAAUCCACUUGUAUCACAUUGUGUAUUUUAACUUUUACAUUAAAAAACAAACAAAAAAAAACCAGAAGAAUGGACCGUGCUGGUGUACCCUCGAGGCCGGGGACCUUGGAGGAAGGUAGUCCGUCCGGGACCUCUCCAGCCAAAUGAGAAGCCACCCGAGGGAGACUGGUCUCGUCGCCCCUGCUUCAGGACGAUAUGUGUGGUGAAGAGUGGAUGUUUGAGAAAGCCAAUCGAUCAGGAGAGAUUCGGACACCCUCCCCACUGAGCAAGGAAGUUUACCAUUAUCUUUGACAGAUUUUCCUGUAGAUUUUGGUCAUGUUGACCCUACAGAAGUUAUUGUAGAGAAACCUAAGAGUUCUGUUAAUAAAGAUUUUGUUGUUAAAUAAACA
rnacentral:lncRNA from 1 species